CCCCCCCUCCCCCCCCCUCCUCCCUUCCCACGGGGGGGGGGGGGGGGGGGCGGGGGGGGGGGCACACAGUGGGGGCAAGCGUGUUUUUUUUUUGUUGGGCGAGGAACCAUACCCCCGCUGGUAUGUCCUAUGCCCACCGCUGAAAGAAGGUUUUGUUUCACUAGACACGGAAAAAGGUGCUGCAUGGUUGUUGUCAGCUUGUGCCGUGAGAUGUUGGGUUAAGUCCCGCAACGAGCGCAACCCCCAUCCUUUGUUGCCAUCACGUAAUGGUGGGGACUUUUAAGAGACUGCCGGUGUAAAAUCGGAGGAAGGUGGGGAUGACGUCAAGUCAUCAUGGCCCUUAUGUCCCGGGCUACACACGUGCUACAAUGGGCGGUACAAAGGGUUGCGAAACCGUGAGGGGAUGUUAAUUUCAAAAAACCGGUCUCAGUUC
rnacentral:rRNA from 1 species